rnacentral:RNase_P_RNA from 2 species
AGGUUCUUAAGAGAUGAUCGCUUCUGCUGAUUCAGCGGAGGAGGAAAGUCCGAGCUCCAAAGGGCAGGGUGCUCCGUAACUCGGAGGCUUGUUCAUCGUAAGAUGCGCAAGACGGAAAGUGCCACAGAAAACAAACAGCCCCAGCGAUUUCGGUUGCUGGAGUCAAGGUGAAACGGCGGCUAUCGCCCUCAAAUGAAGGCGAUGGCAGUCGUCACAUCCAUUAAUUUUAAUGGGUUGUGACGGCGGUUUAAAAGACCACCGGUCCCAAGGCAACGCGGGACGCAUGGCAAACCCCACUUGGAGAAAGACCUAAUAAAGACAAAUGGCUCGCCUUAAAAUUCAUCGAGCCUGAGGAAUUGCUCGUUCCUUACUUAGUCUUAGGUUGGUCGCAUGAGGCGUUUGCGAGAGCAGCGCCCGAGAUAGAUGAUCAUCACUACCUAAUCGGUAGACAGAACUCGGCUUAUUUUAAGAAUCUGCCC